rnacentral:rRNA from 1 species
GAUGAACGCUGGCGGCUUGCCUAAUACAUGCAAGUCGAGCGAACGGACGAGAAGCUUGCUUCUCUGAUGUUAGCGGCGGACGGGUGAGUAACACGUUGAUAACCUACCUAUAAGACUGUGAUAACUUCGGGAAACCGGAGCUAAUACCGGAUAAUAUUUUGAACCGCAUGGUUCAAAAGUGAAAGACGGUCUUGCUGUCACUUAUAGAUGUAUCCGCGCUGCAUUAGCUAGUUGGUAAGGUAACGGCUUACCAAGGCAACGAUGCAUAGCCGACCUGAGAGGGUGAUAGGCCACACGGGAACUGAGACACGGUCCAGACUCCUACGGGAGGCAGCAGUAGGGAAUCUUCCGCAAUGGGCGAAAGCAUGACGGAGCAACGCCGCGUGAGUGAUGAAGGUGUUCGGAUCGUAAAACUCUGUUAUGAGGGAAGAACAUAUGUGUAAGUAACUGUGCACAUAUUGACGGUACCUAAUCAGAAAGCCACGGCUAACUACGUG